AACUGGACAAGUUCGAUCGCCCAGAUGGCCAAGGUGGUACCCACAGGGGCAUGGCUGGUAAUUAAGAGAACCAUAAUUCUCCACCGCUAUCUGUCCUACGACGAAGGCCCAGAUCUCUUGAAUUCGACCCGUGGAAAGACAGAAAACCCUAAAUAUGCUCUCUCUCUCGCUUUAUAUAAACCUUGAGCCAAACCAACCUCUUGAAAUCUCAGCGGUGUAGGCGUAGCGAACCACCGGAGGAAGGGGAAAAUGGCGGUGCCGUUGCUUACGAAGAAGGUUGUUAAGAAGAGAGUUAAGAAGUUCAAGAGGCCACAAAGUGACCGCAAGAUCUCUGUCAAGUAUGGCGAGCUAGCGAUCGACUAUCCGGUCCCUUUUAGGCUAAACAACUACCCUUUUUUUUUAAUCUUCAAUCAGUAUAAUUUUAUAGUCUGAUUUCCUUGUUUCGUUUACAGGAUAGGAGUUGUAGUCUUUUUCUUUUGUUCCUGGGUUUGAAGGAUAUGAUGAAGCUUUUUUGACACCCAGUCUUAGUCCUAAUGGAAGCUGCUGAUUAAUUUAUUUUGAUCUGAUCCUUCAUGGCAAAUAGUGACUUCUUACUGUUUUUUUUUUGUUAAUGUUUUAGUUCUACAUGUAGUUUUUUAAGUUAAGGAGAUAUGCAAUGAGGUGUGAUGAUAUUUAUCCACCAUUUCUGCUAUAGGAUGAUGAAUUUUAUACAUGCACUACCAUCUGAUCUCAUUUGCAUAUCCAUGUGGCUGUUCAUUAUAUAGUAUUCUAUUUUCUAUAUUUAUACUGCAAUCUAUGAUGCAAAUCAUUUGUUAGUGCUGAUUGUCCUGUGAUGAUCAUAAAAAAAUCACCAUCUUUCGGCUGAGGUUGCAGUUUUUGGUUAGUCUUUUCUAUGUGGGGUUUCUUAUGCUUGGUUUAUCAUCUCUAAAUUUCUUAGGAUGUAGAGAUCUAUUAUAUGUUGCCAUUUGCCCAUGGUAUCUGAUGUCCAGAAUUUGUUUUUGUGGCUGGUCAUUUCCUUCUGAUACCUAUGUUUCAUUCUUCAUAAUUUUUGAAAGACAAGCUGGCGCAGACCAAAGGGUAUUGAUUCUCGUGUUCGAAGAAAGUUCAAGGGAUGUACUUUGAUGCCCAAUAUCGGUUAUGGUUCUGACAAGAAGACUCGUCAUUAUCUUCCAAACUGCUUCAAGAAAUUUGUUGUCCACAAUGUCAAAGAGCUAGAGGUGUUGAUGAUGCACAACAGGCACAGAUGAGCUCUUGUUGUCAGAGUUCUUUAUACCAAGCAGAUCACUCUCUUUCCCAAUUGACGAUUCUUUUUAACGUGAUCCAGGACAUACUGCGCUGAGAUAGCACACAAUGUGUCGACAAGGAAGAGAAAAGAGAUUGUGGAGCGAGCUGCGCAGCUUGAUGUUGUUGUAACUAACAAACUCGCUAGGUUGCGUAGCCAGGAGGACGAAUGAAGAGGAGAGCCUGUGUUGAGGAGGGAGGAAUUAUUUUCCAGAUCGAGUAUGCGAAUUUUGCAGUUGUACAGUCUCUGUAACCUGGUAAAUUAGGAUAUCCGCUGAUAGCAAGACUAAUUUUGUUGCCCAUCUAUGCUGUGGCUGGCGCUUUCCUCCCCUUGUAUUAUUUUGUAGGGUUGCCGAGAUGAAAGUCAGAUGGUGUUUUCCCUCCGUAAAUAGUGUUGAGUAUCAUUGAAAAUGGAGCUUUGGUUCUCAAAAAGAAACAUUGGUUUACGAACAAGUUAUAUUAAAAAUUAACUGGCUAGAUUUAAUUUA